GGUGCUAACGUCCGUCGUGAAGAGGGAAACAACCCAGACCGCCAGCUAAGGUCCCAAAGUCAUGGUUAAGUGGGAAACGAUGUGGGAAGGCCCAGACAGCCAGGAUGUUGGCUUAGAAGCAGCCAUCAUUUAAAGAAAGCGUAAUAGCUCACUGGUCGAGUCGGCCUGCGCGGAAGAUGUAACGGGGCUAAACCAUGCACCGAAGCUGCGGCAGCGACACUGUGUGUUGUUGGGUAGGGGAGCGUUCUGUAAGCCUGUGAAGGUGUGUCGUGAGGCAUGCUGGAGGUAUCAGAAGUGCGAAUGCUGACAUAAGUAACGAUAAAGCGGGUGAAAAGCCCGCUCGCCGGAAGACCAAGGGUUCCUGUCCAACGUUAAUCGGGGCAGGGUGAGUCGACCCCUAAGGCGAGGCCGAAAGGCGUAGUCGAUGGGAAACGGGUUAAUAUUCCCGUACUUGGUGUUACUGCGAAGGGGGGACGGAGAAGGCUAUGUUGGCCGGGCGACGGUUGUCCCGGUUUAAGCGUGUAGGUGUGUGUUCCAGGUAAAUCCGGUUCACUUUAACACUGAGGCGUGACGACGAGGCACUACGGUGCUGAAGCAACAAAUGCCCUGCUUCCAGGAAAAGCCUCUAAGCAUCAGGUAACAUCAAAUCGUACCCCAAACCGACACAGGUGGUCAGGUAGAGAAUACCAAGGCGCUUGAGAGAACUCGGGUGAAGGAACUAGGCAAAAUGGUGCCGUAACUUCGGGAGAAGGCACGCUGACACGUAGGUGAAGUGAUUUACUCAUGGAGCUGAAGUCAGUCGAAGAUACCAGCUGGCUGCAACUGUUUAUUAAAAACACAGCACUGUGCAAACACGAAAGUGGACGUAUACGGUGUGACGCCUGCCCGGUGCCGGAAGGUUAAUUGAUGGGGUCAGCGCAAGCGAAGCUCCUGAUCGAAGCCCCGGUAAACGGCGGCCGUAACUAUAACGGUCCUAAGGUAGCGAAAUUCCUUGUCGGGUAAGUUCCGACCUGCACGAAUGGCGUAAUGAUGGCCAGGCUGUCUCCACCCGAGACUCAGUGAAAUUGAACUCGCUGUGAAGAUGCAGUGUACCCGCGGCAAGACGGAAAGACCCCGUGAACCUUUACUAUAGCUUGACACUGAACAUUGAGCCUUGAUGUGUAGGAUAGGUGGGAGGCUUUGAAGCGUGGACGCCAGUCUGCGUGGAGCCGACCUUGAAAUACCACCCUUUAAUGUUUGAUGUUCUAACGUGGACCCGUGAUCCGGGUUGCGGACAGUGUCUGGUGGGUAGUUUGACUGGGGCGGUCUCCUCCUAAAGAGUAACGGAGGAGCACGAAGGUUGGCUAAUCCUGGUCGGACAUCAGGAGGUUAGUGCAAUGGCAUAAGCCAGCUUGACUGCGAGCGUGACGGCGCGAGCAGGUGCGAAAGCAGGUCAUAGUGAUCCGGUGGUUCUGAAUGGAAGGGCCAUCGCUCAACGGAUAAAAGGUACUCCGGGGAUAACAGGCUGAUACCGCCCAAGAGUUCAUAUCGACGGCGGUGUUUGGCACCUCGAUGUCGGCUCAUCACAUCCUGGGGCUGAAGUAGGUCCCAAGGGUAUGGCUGUUCGCCAUUUAAAGUGGUACGCGAGCUGGGUUUAGAACGUCGUGAGACAGUUCGGUCCCUAUCUGCCGUGGGCGCUGGAGAACUGAGGGGGGCUGCUCCUAGUACGAGAGGACCGGAGUGGACGCAUCACUGGUGUUCGGGUUGUCAUGCC
rnacentral:rRNA from 2 species